rnacentral:rRNA from 1 species
UACGUAGGGUGCGAGCGUUAAUCGGAAUUACUGGGCGUAAAGCGUGCGCAGGCGGUUCGUUAAGUCAGAUGUGAAAGCCCCGGGCUCAACCUGGGAACUGCAUUUGAAACUGGCGGGCUUGAGUGUGGCAGAGGGGGGUGGAAUUCCGCGUGUAGCGGUGAAAUGCGUAGAUAUCAGGAGGAACACCGGUGGCGAAGGCGGGUCUCUGGGCAACAACUGACGCUGAGGAGCGAAAGCGUGGGGAGCGAACAGG